GUCGAGCGAACAGACGAGGAGCUUGCUCCUCUGACGUUAGCGGCGGACGGGUGAGUAACACGUGGAUAACCUACCUAUAAGACUGGGAUAACUUCGGGAAACCGGAGCUAAUACCGGAUAAUAUAUUGAACCGCAUGGUUCAAUAGUGAAAGACGGUUUUGCUGUCACUUAUAGAUGGAUCCGCGCCGCAUUAGCUAGUUGGUAAGGUAACGGCUUACCAAGGCAACGAUGCGUAGCCGACCUGAGAGGGUGAUCGGCCACACUGGAACUGAGACACGGUCCAGACUCCUACGGGAGGCAGCAGUAGGGAAUCUUCCGCAAUGGGCGAAAGCCUGACGGAGCAACGCCGCGUGAGUGAUGAAGGUCUUCGGAUCGUAAAACUCUGUUAUUAGGGAAGAAUAAAUGUGUAAGUAACUAUGCACGUCUUGACGGUACCUAAUCAGAAAGCCACGGCUAACUACGUGCCAGCAGCCGCGGUAAUACGUAGGUGGCAAGCGUUAUCCGGAAUUAUUGGGCGUAAAGCGCGCGUAGGCGGUUUUUUAAGUCUGAUGUGAAAGCCCACGGCUCAACCGUGGAGGGUCAUUGGAAACUGGAAAACUUGAGUGCAGAAGAGGAAAGUGGAAUUCCAUGUGUAGCGGUGAAAUGCGCAGAGAUAUGGAGGAACACCAGUGGCGAAGGCGACUUUCUGGUCUGUAACUGACGCUGAUGUGCGAAAGCGUGGGGAU
rnacentral:rRNA from 1 species